GUGCCAGCCGCCGCGGUAAUUCCAGCUCCAAUAGCGUAUAUUAAAGUUGUUGUGGUUAAAAAGCUCGUAGUUGAACCUUGGGCCUGGCUGGCCGGUCCGCCUCACCGCGUGCACUGGUCCGGCCGGGCCUUUCCCUCUGUGGAACCCCAUACCCUUCACUGGGCGUGGCGGGGAAACAGGACAUUUACUUUGAAAAAAUUAGAGUGCUCCAGGCAGGCCUAUGCUCGAAUACAUUAGCAUGGAAUAAUAAAAUAGGACGCGCGGUUCUAUUUUGUUGGUUUAUAGGACCGCCGUAAUGAUUAAUAGGGACAGUCGGGGGCAUCAGUAUUCAACUGUCAGAGGUGAAAUUCUUGGAUCAGUUGAAGACUAACUACUGCGAAAGCAUUUGCCAAGGAUGUUUUCAUUAAUCAGGAACGAAAGUUAGGGGAUCGAAGACGAUCAGAUACCGUCGUAGUCUUAACCAUAAACUAUGCCGACUAGGGAUCGGACGGUGUUAUUCAUGACCCGUUCGGCACCUUACGAGAAAUCAAAGUGCUUGGGCUCCAGGGGGAGUAUGGUCGCAAGGCUGAAACUUAAAGAAAUUGACGGAAGGGCACCACCAGGGGUGGAGCCUGCGGCUUAAUUUGACUCAACACGGGGAAACUCACCAGGUCCAGACACAAUAAGGAUUGACAGAUUGAGAGCUCUUUCUUGAUUUUGUGGGUGGUGGUGCAUGGCCGUUCUUAGUUGGUGGGGUGACUUGUCUGCUUAAUUGCGAUAACGAACGAGACCUUAACCUGCUAAAUAGCCCGCAUUGCUCCGGCAGUGCGCUGGCUUCUUAGAGGGACUU
rnacentral:rRNA from 1 species